AUGCAUCCUCCACCUUCUUACUCGCAAUCUCUUCCCGUGGCCGAGUCCGGGAGCAAGAACCCCAAACCCCGCGCGACCGCCGACGAGGAUGACCCGGACCUGCCCCCACGGGAGGCGCCCCCCGGGAUAUCUGGAUUGCUGCACGAAUGGAAUCGCGCGGGGGCGGCGGAGCGCCUCCCUGAAAUCCGCGCCAACCUUCUCCUCCUGCCCCCGCCCGCGGCCCCGUCCCGGCCCCGUCCGCCGCGGGUCUCCGCGCACUCGGCCUCCUCAGCUUCGUCCACCUCGACCUCUCCUCGCCCCCUUCCCCCGGCGCCCCGCGCCGCGACCUCGUCGCCGCGCUCAUCGCCAAUUAUCACCUUCGCCGACGCGCUCGCCCUCCCGGCCCCGCGAAGUACCGCGCCGGUCGAUCGGGACCCCCCGGCCGGCGUCGACCCCGCUGCCGUGGCCUCCGCCGCGACGGAGUUCAUGAAAGCGUACAUCUUGACGCCGUUAGCGGCCACCAACGGCGGGAAGCUGCCCAUCUAUGUCGAGUCGGCGGCGCAGAGGGUGAAGGAUGGGAUGGCGCAUACUGUCGACUGGACAUUUUUACUCUGGCGCCUUGUAGUGGAGGAGAUGUUCGAGCUGAGGAAGGGGAUGAGAAGCGAUUGGGCGUGUUACUACGGCGCAUACCUGCAGAGGCUCAUCUGGGUGAAGAGGCCGGACCUGUUCUUGCCACCACCGGUGGCGCCACCGGAGCAAGCUGCAUUGGCGGCAGGAAACAACCACCGGCCAAAAGCCGACGACAAUCAGAAGCUCUGUUCAGAGCUGGAGUCCAAGAUGCAGGAGUGUGAAGCGAAAUCACAGCGGUUUGAAGCGGAGGUUGAGGCGAAAUCAAGGCAACUUGAUGCUCUAGCUGCGCAGUAUCACCACGAAAUGAGGAACCUCGAGCAAGAUAAGAAAAGGCAACUUGACGCUCUAGCUGCACGGCAUCACUACGACAUGAGGAACCUCGAGCAAGAUAAGAAAAUGUUGCAGGAUGAGGUACACACUGUCAAGCUGCUGAAUCAGGCUCUGGUUUGCAAGGAAACAGAGAGCAGGGAUGAAGUGCAGCGGGUUCUGAAAGAGCUGACUCAUGUGAGCAAGCAGCUAGCAGAGCUGAAGGAUGAGAUGCACACGGUGGAGUCACUUAACCAGGCUCUGGUUAACAAGGAAGCGAAAAGCGACGAUGAACUUCGACGAGGACAGGAGGAGAUGACAGAUGUGAGAAAGCAACUAGCACAUUUACAGGAGGAGAUGCGCGCCAUUGACUUGCUCAACCAGGCCCUGGCUAGUGCCAAGGAAGCGAAAGACGAUGAAUUGGAGAGGGUUCGGAACGAGCUAGUCCAUGUAAGGAAGCAAGCAGGGCAUUUGGAAGAGGAGAUGAACAUACUGGAUUCAAUCAACAAGGCUCUAGUUGCCAAGGAAAGGGAAAACAGUGCCGAGUUGCAAGACAUCCGGAAAAAGAUGAAAGAUCUAAAUGAUGAGCGUGAAGGGCUAGAGUCAGACAACAAAGUCCUGACAACCAUGGAAAUAAGAAGCAACAACGAGUUGCAAGUCGUCCGGAAAACACUGAUAGAUGGCUUGCAGAAUUUUACGAAUGGACAUGCACACAUAGGUGUCAAAAGGAUGGGCGAUCUUGACCUCAAAGAAUUUGCAAAAGCUUGCAAGCAGGAUUUAUUACAAGAGGAUGCACGAGUUGAUUCCUCUGUUCUUUGUUCGAAAUGGGAAGCUCGAAUUGCAGAUCCAAACUGGCACCCUUUUGAGGUCCGCAUGAAUGAUGAUGGUAAAGAGAAGGAAAUUCUGCUAAAGGAUAAUGCUAAUCUUCAGGAGUUAGAAGAGCACGGUGAAGAAAUAUACACUUUGGUGACAAAGGCGCUGUUUGAAAUCAACGAGUACAACCCCAGUGGCCGCUAUCCUGUACCAGAGCUAUGGAACUACAAGGAUGGCCGGAAAGCAACACCGGAAGAGGCCAUCAAGUAUAUCCUGAAAUCACGCAAGAGGAGGCGGUGA
rnacentral:rRNA from 1 species